rnacentral:rRNA from 1 species
CUACGGGCGGCACCAGUGGGGAAUAUUGGGCAAUGGGCGAAAGCCUGACCCAGCAACGCCGCGUGAAGGAAGAAGGCUUUCGGGUCGUAAACUUCUAUCCCAGAUGAAGAUAAUGACGGUAAUCUGGAAGGAAGCCCCGGCUAACUACGUGCCAGCAGCCGCGGUAAUACGUAGGGGGCAAGCGUUGUCCGGAAUGAUUGGGCGUAAAGGGCGCGUAGGCGGCCUUUUAAGUCCGAUGUGAAAGUCCUGCUUUUAAGGUGGGAAUUGCAUUGGAAACUGGAAGGCUUGAGUGCAGGAGAGGUAAGUGGAAUUCCCGGUGCAGCGGUGAAAUGCGUAGAGAUCGGGAGGAACACCAGUGGCGAAGGCGACUUACUGGACUGUAACUGACGCUGAGGCGCGAAAGUGUGGGGAGCAAACAGGAUUAGAUACCCUAGUAGUC